rnacentral:rRNA from 1 species
UUACCUACGGGGGGCAGCAGUGGGGGAUAUUGCACAAUGGGGGGAACCCUGAUGCAGCGACGCCGCGUGGGUGAAGAAGCGCCUCGGCGCGUAAAGCCCUGUCAGCAGGGAAGAAAAUGACGGUACCUGACUAAGAAGCUCCGGCUAAAUACGUGCCAGCAGCCGCGGUAAUACGUAUGGAGCAAGCGUUAUCCGGAUUUACUGGGUGUAAAGGGAGCGCAGGCGGCUUUGCAAGUCUGAUGUGAAAGGCCAGGGCUCAACCCUGGGACUGCAUUGGAAACUGUAAAGCUAGAGUGCCGGAGAGG